rnacentral:rRNA from 1 species
GACGAACGCUGGCGGCGUGCUUAACACAUGCAAGUCGAACGGAAAGGCCCUGCUUUUGUGGGGUGCUCGAGUGGCGAACGGGUGAGUAACACGUGAGUAACCUGCCCUUGACUUUGGGAUAACUUCAGGAAACUGGGGCUAAUACCGGAUAGGAGCUCCUGCUGCAUGGUGGGGGUUGGAAAGUUUUGGCGGUUGGGGAUGGACUCGCGGCUUAUCAACUUGUUGGUGGGGUAGUGGCUUACCAAGGCUUUGACGGGUAGCCGGCCUGAGAGGGUGACCGGCCAAAUUGGGACUGGGAUACGGCCCAGACUCCUACGGGGGGCAGCAGGGGGGAAUAUUGCACAAGGGGCGGAAGCCUGAUGCAGCAACGCCGGGGGGGGGAUGACGGCCUUCGGGUGGAAAACCGCUUUCCCCUGGGACGAAGCGUGAGUGACGGUAAUGGGGAAAGAAGCACCGGCUAACUACGU